rnacentral:rRNA from 1 species
GACGAACUGUCCUAACGUUGUUCGGAAUCACUGGGCUUAAAGGGCGCGUAGGCGGUCCGACAAGUCAGGGGUGAAAUCCUGCAGCUUAACUGCAGAAGUGCCUCUGAUACUGUCGGUCUGGAGGGAGAUAGGGGUGUGCGGAACUUCCAGUGGAGCGGUGAAAUGCGUUGAUAUUGGGAAGGAACGCCGGAGGCGAAAGCGGCGCACUGGAUCUCUUCUGACGCUGAGGCGCGAAAGCUAGGGGAGCAAACGGGG